rnacentral:rRNA from 1 species
GAUGAACGCUGGCGGCGUGCCUAAUACAUGCAAGUCGAGCGAACAGACGAGGAUCUUGCUCCUCUGACGUUAGCGGCGGACGGGUGAGUAACACGUGGAUAACCUACCUAUAAGACUGGGAUAACUUCGGGAAACCGGAGCUAAUACCGGAUAAUAUAUUGAACCGCAUGGUUCAAUAGUGAAAGACGGAUUUGCUGUCACUUAUAGAUGGAUCCGCGCCGCAUUAGCUAGUUGGUAAGGUAACGGCUUACCAAGGCAACGAUGCGUAGCCGACCUGAGAGGGUGAUCGGCCACACUGGAACUGAGACACGGUCCAGACUCCUACGGGAGGCAGCAGUAGGGAAUCUUCCGCAAUGGGCGAAAGCCUGACGGAGCAACGCCGCGUGAGUGAUGAAGGUCUUCGGAUCGUAAAACUCUGUUAUUAGGGAAGAACAAAUGUGUAAGUAACUAUGCACGUCUUGACGGUACCUAAACAGAAAGCCACGGCUAACUACGUG